CGGCGGUGCAGGGUGGCCGUCUCCGGUCCCUAAAACACUGUGAGAAAAGCUUGAAAGUAAGAGGAACGAUACCGCAGUUUGAAGGAGCUACGCUAGAGAAGGUUAAAGGAGGAUGAAGAGACCUAUUCAAGGAGGUUCUGUUGGAGAUGCAGAAAAAUGCAGCAGCACAGGUGCAUACUUCAUCCAACAAUCUGUCUAAAUUGGAUUUCAAGUGGAUUAUCAUGCCCAAGGGAUGUGUAAAUUGUUACGUGGAUCAGCUGGUUAUGUCUCAAAAGUGAAGCAAGAACUGCAAAUGUCUCUUACCCUCUCCUGUCCUAGGUACUUCGUGGCAGCAGGUGUUUCAGGACCAGAGAUUGCUUCUUAGCCUUUCAAGGAAAUUAGUCUGGAGCUGGAGACUUUUGCAAAUAAAAAGCAUUUGUAAGUG
rnacentral:lncRNA from 1 species